UACGUAGGGUGCGAGCGUUGUCCGGAAUUAUUGGGCGUAAAGGGCUCGUAGGCGGUUUGUCGCGUCGGGAGUGAAAACCUUAGGCUUAACUCAGGGCUUGCUUUCGAUACGGGCAGACUAGAGGUAUGCAGGGGAGAACGGAAUUCCUGGUGUAGCGGUGAAAUGCGCAGAUAUCAGGAGGAACACCGGUGGCGAAGGCGGUUCUCUGGGCAUGAUCUGACGCUGAGGAGCGAAAGUGUGGGGAGCGAACAGG
rnacentral:rRNA from 1 species